rfam:Cricetulus griseus cell line CHO-K1, whole genome shotgun sequence.
ACCCAGCUCUUUUAGUUGGUAGAGCAUAAGACUCUUAAUCUCAGGGUCAUGGGUUCAUUCCCCAUGUAGGGUG